rnacentral:rRNA from 1 species
GAGUUUGAUCCUGGCUCAGGACGAACGCUGGCGGCAUGCUUAACACAUGCAAGUCGAACGGACUGAUUCCUUCGGGAUGAAAGUUAGUGGCGAACGGGUGAGUAAUGUAUGAGCAACCUGCCUCUAUCAACGGGAUAGCAGUUGGAAACGACUGGUAAUACGGUAUAUGACCACAGCACGGCAUCGUGCAGCGGUAAAAGAUUUUAUCGGAUAGAGAUGGGCUCAUAUCCCAUUAGGUAGUUGGUGAGAUAACAGCCCACCAAGCCUACGAUGGGUAGCCGAGCUGAGAGGCUGAUCGGCCACAUUGGGACUGAAACACGGCCCAGACUCCUACGGGAGGCAGCAGUGGGGAAUAUUGGGCAAUGGAGGCAACUCUGACCCAGCAAUGCCGCGUGAGUGAUGAAGGUAAUUUUAUUGUAAAGCUCUUUUCUUUGGAACGAAUAAAUGACGGUACCAAAGGAAUAAGCCCCGGCUAACUACGUGCCAGCAGCCGCGGUAAUACGUAGGGGGCAAGCGUUGUUCGGAAUGACUGGGCGUAAAGGGUGUGUAGAUGGUUUGAUAAGUUAGAUGUGUAAUACCCAGGGCUUAACUCGGGUGCUG